rnacentral:rRNA from 1 species
CCGCCCCUUAGUGCUGCAGAAUAACGCAUNAAUCACUUCGCCUGGGGAGUACGGUCGCAAGACUGAAACUCAAAGGAAUUGNCGGGGGACAGCACAAGCGGUGGAGCAUGUGGUUUAAUUNGAAGCAACGCGAAGAACCUUACCAGGUCUUGACAUCCUCUGACAAUCCUAGAGAUAGGACGUCCCCUUCGGGGGCAGAGUGACAGGUGGUGCAUGGUUGUCGUCAGCUCGUGUCGUGAGAUGUUGGGUUAAGUCCCGCAACGAGCGCAACCCUUGAUCUUAGUUGCCAGCAUUCAGUUGGGCACUCUAAGGUGACUGCCGGUGACAAACCGGAGGAAGGUGGGGAUGACGUCAAAUCAUCAUGCCCCUUAUGACCUGGGCUACACACGUGCUACAAUGGGCAGAACAAAGGGCAGCGAAACCGCGAGGUUAAGCCAAUCCCACAAAUCUGUUCUCAGUUCGGAUCGCAGUCUGCAACUCGACUGCGUGAAGCUGGAAUCGCUAGUNAUCGCGGAUCAGCAUGCCGCGGUGAAUACGUUCCCGNGCNGNUGUACACACCGCCCGU